rnacentral:rRNA from 1 species
GACGAACGCUGGCCGCGUGCCUAAUACAUGCAAGUCGAGCGGACGAAUCGAAAGCUUGCUUUUGAUUCGUUAGCGGCGGACGGGUGAGUAACACGUGGGCAACCUGCCCUGUAGACGGGGAUAACACCGAGAAAUCGGUGCUAAUACCGGAUAACACGAAAUGUCGCAUGACGUUUCGUUGAAAGACGGCGCAAGCUGUCGCUACAGGAUGGGCCCGCGGCGCAUUAGCUAGUUGGUGAGGUAACGGCUCACCAAGGCGACGAUGCGUAGCCGACCUGAGAGGGUGAUCGGCCACACUGGGACUGAGACACGGCCCAGACUCCUACGGGAGGCAGCAGUAGGGAAUCUUCCGCAAUGGACGAAAGUCUGACGGAGCAACGCCGCGUGAGCGAAGAAGGCCUUCGGGUCGUAAAGCUCUGUUGUUAGGGAAGAACAAGUAACGCAGUAACUGGCGUUACCGUGACGGUACCUAACGAGAAAGCCACGGCUAACUACGUG